rnacentral:misc_RNA from 1 species
AGUCCCGACUCCUCCAUAAAGGUAUAACCCUUGAACCGGUGAAUGCGAAGGUUGGGGAAUGAAUCUCGACCAUAACCACCUACUCCUCCCAGCUUUCCCGGAAUCUUUAUAUCGAUCAAGCCGGCACUCAUCCUCAUGCUCCACAAGCUGAUCAUAAAGCCUUUGCAAUAUCCGAAGAGUGUCAAUCUGACAAUUGUCGCCGUCUAGCAAUUCGCCGGUUUCGAUUCUCCUCUCGUACUCGACCAGCG